ACUCCUAAUUAAGGUGUCUUUUACUCCGUGUUCCCAGGCUGCCUCUUUCCCUUCGGUCGCCGUGGACACUGUGCCGGACACCUCUGGCAGGACUAACCCCGGGGCUUUUAUGUCCAGCGUGCUGUGCUGUGUGUGCCUGCAGGUAAGAAAAGCUGGCAGUGCAGUCCCUCUACUUUGAUUGCUGUGUCUCUUGGGUAGCGAUUUUGGAGGGGAAUCCCAGAGCGAUUUGGUUUGAAGGGGACCUUCAAAGGCCAGCCUGUCUUCCGUGGGCAGGGACACCUUCCACUGUCCCCGGUUGCUCCGAGUCCCGUCCAGCCUGGCCUGGAACACUUGCAGGGAUGGGGCAGGCUCAGUUUCCCUGUGCAGUGUGCUCUAAUAUCUCUCCACUGGCAUCCUGAAAAAUGUUGUCAGUGUGUUUUGUUGGACGACGCUAGGCAGGACCUGGGUGAAAAGGACAUUCUCUGAGGUGCUGGGAGAAGGAGGACUCGUGCGGGCACCUCCAGAGACAGCGGGAACGGGAGCGUGCUGCGGAGAAGGAAAAUUCCAGGGGAAUUGCCACGAGAGGAAAUACCUCAGAGGGGCUUCCCUCCAGAUAAGCCCUGAAUAUGCCAGGAGGUUUCAGCCGGGAGAAAGGAGCUGUGGAAGAAAAGCAGCCUAAAAGUAGCCAGCGGGGAUCAUCAGGUUUUCCAGGCAAGAAGAACAAGGAGAGAGAUGAGGGAAUGGGGUUCCAAUUCCUAAUGAUUUGGUGGGUGCAGGAAUGAUUUGUGUGUGUUUUCCAGUCCCUUUUGAUUCCUGAGAUGAUUUUAAAAUGAUGGCUUUAGCAAUCAACUAAAUCGGAGAUGUUGUUUUUGAGAGGAAAUGGUGCCAAAUAAAUGCAGAGUUUUGGGUCA